rnacentral:lncRNA from 1 species
AAUAAGGAAAAUUUGUAACACUCCAAAAGCAUUUUGUACAUUUAGAUCUCACAUUAUAAGCCCAAAAGAACCCAUGGGUACGUGGAUUAAUGUACAAAUAACACCAUCUCAUAGGGAAAGCAAUUUGUGAUAUGUUAAAUUUGUAAUUAUCACCUGGAGGAAGCUUUGUUAAGGUGUUAAUUGUGUCAAAAUCUCUGCACAUAUAAUAUAUUGAGAAAUUGUUGUCAUUGGCUAAUGUUACCUCAAUUAUGGGAAACAUUUU